UCUACUGCUACAGUGGUACCUAAGUUACUGUAACUCCCCUGUAUCUCACUCUUGUCUAGAGGAGAAGAUGCCAUCCAUAAGAGAACACCUUAACACCCAGACGUCAUGAGAAUAAAGUAUCAUCAAGUUCAGCAACUGUUCUUUUCCUAUCCACAGAAUGAAGAUUGACUAGACUGAAGUCAACAGUGACAUUUCAGAACAAAUCCUCUCACAGACUUCAGCUUGAGGAAAAGAGAUUCAAGGUCUGCCACUACUAGCAGGAGAUAAUCUUGUUGUGUGGCAGGGAGAAAGUGCUUUCGCUGCUGAUGAAAGAGGAUCACCUGCUGUGAAAGCAUUGUACAAAUGUUGAAGAUACUCGGAAAAUGCCAGCGCUCCAGGGAUAUACAGACCAGAGCCGCAGGACACUCAACAGUCCUCCCACUGAGUGGUUAAAGGGAACCCAUCCAAAAAUUCUAUGAAAUAUAGCCACAGUUUAGGUUUUGAGACUGCUUCUUUCCUAUUGAGUUGUUGAUUCCAACUUCAGCAGACAUAUUGAUUCAAUGGGAACUUGGAAUGAUAAGGAUGCUAUCUACUGGAUUUUGACACAAGUUUUGGCUUGAAGAGGGCAGCAAGACAGGGGCCAGAAAUAGUUUGUGAGAAAAAUGUCAAGCUGAAUAUCAAAUAAGCAUUUGGGAAUGAAGUGUCAGUGCUGGUUCCUGGAGGUUUUGUUUGGGGUGUGUGAGAAGAUAUUAUAAAUUGUACCCAGAAGGAAAGAACGAAGAACUGGGUCUUCUCGGCAGUGGCCCC